rnacentral:rRNA from 1 species
UACAGAGGUCUCAAGCGUUGUUCGGAUUCAUUGGGCGUAAAGCGUGCGUAGGUGGCGCCGUAAGUCGGAUGUGAAAUUUCGGAGCUUAACUCCGAAACUGCAUUCGAUACUGCGGUGCUUGAGGACUGGAGAGGAGACUGGAAUUCAUGGUGUAGCAGUGAAAUGCGUAGAGAUCAUGAGGAAGACCAGUGGCGAAGGCGGGUCUCUGGACAGUUCCUGACGCUGAGGCACGAAGGCCAGGGGAGCAAACGGG